UUUAUUUGAAACAUGUCAAACUAGAAGAAGUCAAGAAGAAGAAAAUAAACAUAAGCCAUAAGAUUAUUCAAAACUCGGUCAUUUAGAAUCUUCUAAAAUGUGAAAGAACAUAUAAAAAAUUGCAAGACAUAAUAAUAUUUACCAUAUUUGUCUUAUUUCAGAUGAAAAGAACAAAAUUGAUGAGACUAACUUGUUGGGUCAUGUCCUCCUUGGUUUGGGUCGCCUGGAACACCUGAAUCUCCUUAAUGACCGCUCCAUCUCCUGCUGUUUGACCGUUCGGUAUUGACACAAACAGCUCGAUCUCCUUCUUCUCAUAGGGGGGAGGUACCUGCAAAAGGCAUUCCGACGCCAAGUUAGGCGUGUUGAUGAAGAACUUUAGUUCUUGACUAAAUACUUAGUGAAUGAUUAACACUUUUUGAGUUUUUUGAGAGUAGUGAAGUGUGAAUAAUGCGUACCUGGCUUGUGACCCUAUUCUCUAUUUAUAAGUUGUCUUAUGGACCCUAAAAUGACAUAAGCCCAAUAAAAUAUAAACAGAAUAAAAUAUAAACAAACUUACCACAAAUCUAGCUAAAAAUCUAGCUAAUAUCUUUCAUCAGAUAGGGGGUUACUCCCUGUACCUCCCCAGUUCCAACCCCCACCCCCCCAAUUUUUUUGGACUUUUUUUAAAAUACAAAAUUAACCUUUAUGUUAUUUUUAUUUUUACCGUUUUACCCCUACUUAGUAAAGUUAACCUACCUACCUCUUUUACAGUCUGCCUCAGUCAAAACACAUAGACUCAGAUUCCUCUCCUUCGUAUUCCCACCCCCACCCCAACCAAAGCUUUUGAACGCUCCUCCUCCAAACGCUCUCUGCAACUCUCACUCUCCCAUUCCUCGAAGGUUCUGUUUGUGCGGCCUGGUGCUCUUGGGCGGUGCGGUUGUGGUUGCUGCGCAGAGGGUGCUAUAUCCUAAAAAAUAAAACUAAUAAAAACAAAUCCUAAAAAAUGGAACUAAUAAAAACAAAUCUUGAAAAAGUAAACUAAUAAAAACAAAUCUUAAAAAAUAAAACUAAUAAAAUAAAAAUCUAAUAUAAACAAAUCUUAAAAAAUAAAACUAAUAAAAACAAAUCCUAGAAAAUAAACUAAUAAAAACAAAUCUUAAAAAAUAAAAUUAAUAAAAACAAAUCUUAAAAAAUAAAACUAAUAAAAACAAAUCCUAAAAAAUAAACUAAUAAAAACAAAUCUUAAAAAAUAAAAUUAAUAAAAACAAAUCUUAAAAAAUAAAACUAACAAAAACAUAAUAUAAUCUAAAAACGCUUAAACGGAUCUAGAAAUCCGUCAACGGAUGUCAACAUCCGUUUAAGGGUAAAUGGAAGUCGUCAUCCG
rnacentral:lncRNA from 1 species